UAGAGCCAGUGAUGAUACAAGUUAUCCCUGUCUGAACAUGAAUGUGUGGAGAUAUGGUAACCUGAGGCAACU